GACGAACGCUGGCGGCGUGCCUAAUACAUGCAAGUAGAACGCUGAAGGAGGAGCUUGCUUCUCCGGAUGAGUUGCGAACGGGUGAGUAACGCGUAGGUAACCUGCCUGGUAGCGGGGGAUAACUAUUGGAAACGAUAGCUAAUACCGCAUAACAGUAGAUGUUGCAUGACAUUUGCUUAAAAGGUGCAAUUGCAUCACUACCAGAUGGACCUGCGUUGUAUUAGCUAGUUGGUGAGGUAACGGCUCACCAAGGCGACGAUACAUAGCCGACCUGGGAGGGUGGGCGGCCACACCGGGAAGGGGAAACGGCCCAAACGGCUACGGGAGGCAGCCGUAGGGAAUCUGCGGCAAAGGAGGGAAGUCUGACCGAGAAACGCCGCGUGAGUGAAGAAGGUUCUCGGAUCGUAAAGCUCUGUUGUAAGAGAAGAAAGAGGGUGAGAGUGGAAAGUUCACAUUGGGACGGUAACUUACCAGAAAGGGACGGCUAACUACGGU
rnacentral:rRNA from 1 species